AUAUUCUCAUUCCAUGAAUAUUGAGACAGGUUUAGAACUGUUGGUAAGAGAAAUUUCAUUAAGUGUGUGUUUACAUUCACAUUCGAAAUGGUGUCUACCAUGCGUUCACAAUGUGGUUCCAAACACAUGGUAAGUUUUGAUGAGAAGGGGUAUCAUGUUGGUUUCUUCUUUUGUGGAUACUAUGUUGUUUUUGCAGGAUUUUUGUUGGUGUCAACAUAAGACUACAAUUUUUUGCUAUGAACUGUUAAGGGUUUGCACUUGGCUCCCUUGCUAUUAUGAUUCUUGCAAUAUCCAUGCCAUAAGGAAGGUGAUGGAGUUUUGAUAUUUUAUUUUAGCAUGUUUUCCAUUUUGAAGAUGAGUUAUUGACAAAAUGAGGGAAGAGAAAGAAAAAAAUUGACUGAAUUAUUUAACAAUAAUAAUAAAACAUUCUCUAUUAGAUUAUCACUUAAUAACAAGUGAACCAUAGAUACUUGAACUUGAAGUGCUAAUUUUGAAGCAGCGAUAAAUCAAUAACACAAUAAUUAACUAGGCAAAUUGAAAUUUGGUUUACUAUAGAGAUGAAAAGCUUAUCUAAUACUCUGUUAUUUUCUAAAGUAAAUGGGAAGGAAGAGAGAUGACAUGUCAAUUUUCCCCUUGUGUUUGAAUGUUAAUUGUCCUUGAAAAUGUUGGUGAAAUCGGAAACAUUUCUUGCUGAAGCUUGCAAACAGGGAUAUCAGAUUUGUAAUAGUUUCAACUUUCAAACUGUGUAUAAUAUUGAUUCUGUUCCGUUCAUGAGAGCAAGUAUUGUCAACUAGGUGUGUGUUUGGUUCUGGUUCCAUGCUGAGUUGUGUAGCAUCCAACACCAGUUUGCAACGGUCAGAUAGUAUUCGACUGUAUUGUGAAGAUGUUUGGCUGCUUGUUGAGAAUGCUAUUUGUCAUCCAAAACUGAUUCUAACCUUGAAAUACCUCAUCCAUCUUUACUCUCGGGUUGAAAAAUUGAUCGUGAGAUUUGUGGAAGUGCCUUCAAUUGUUCCACUCUCAGAGCAGAAUGCCCCACAGAUGACUUGGUUUACAACAAAGAGGCCAUCCUUAUCAUCAAUCUGAGGUAGUUUUUGUUAUUAUUUGCAUCCCUUCUGUUCUGUUUCAACUCAGUUAUGUAUACGUAAUAACAGGGUGUUACCUUUCUUGUACCCACUUACACUGAAUAGACAAUGUUUCUAUUAAGUCUAUUCCUUGAGUUGAAACUGGGAAUCAACGUCUGAAAUGGGCGAGGUUUGCUAUCUUUAUUUUUGAAGUUUUUUCAUUAUAAUUAUUGGUUUUCCUAGAGUGAAAAUUUAUUAAUUAUGCAAUGUUUCAUAGGGAAUUAUGCAAUGUUUUUUUACUAAUGCUGGGUGGAUGCAUUCAACUUCACUUUGAUAUGAAGUUGAAAUUUGUACUUGAGUCAGGGGUCAAUGUUUUGGUGGAAUCGAAAGCAAAAACUAAUAUGAAAGGCAUUUGAUUUAGCUUUCCCGUUAACUAAUGAGUUAAUGAACCACUCUUAAUGCUAAAAUUAGUAAUUUUAUGUAUUAUUUGAGUUCAUGGUAUGUACGGUAUGAGAUUUGUAUAUGUUUUUGAGCUCGUAAUUUGUAAUGUUCUUACAUUGUUUACGAGGUUCGAGCACAACAACAUUAUUUAAUGGUUUGAUAACAAUAGCAAUAACAUUAUGACCAACAAUGAUUACCGAGCAAAAUUCUUUUACUAAUGAAUGGUCAAUACUUAUUCUUGAUUUCAGGAGUACUGAUCGAAAUAUCUUUGGAGGCUGUAAAAACUCUUACACUAUGCUUAAUAUAAUCAGUGCUUCCAUGUCAAAGAUGAUGGUUUUGUCCCCCUGUCUGUUCAUAUUUUGAUCCUCGGCAUUUGAAGUUUUAUAUCAUGAUCAAAAUCAAGCUGUUUUAAUCUUUUAUUUGAGGCAGGACAAAAUGGAACUCAGUCUUGGAAUCAAUUCUCCAACCACAAACUUCAAAAGUUAGACAUUGUAGUAGAAAUUCCAGUAGUCGCCCUUUAGUUGGGUUUACAUUCAUCGUAAAAUGAUUUUGAACAAAUAUAAGGAAAUGAAUUCCAUGCAUGUAUGCCUUAUAUCUUGAGAUGUAUUUAAAAGUAGAUUAGUUGAAGUUGGAGUGUGAGCCGUCCGAUUUCAAUAUAAUGGUCAAUGUUGCUUGAUUAAGUGCUUCAAUAACUGCAGGAAGAUUGAUCAGCAAAAUUGAGAUUAUUCAAAACUGGGCAUAAUUGAACAACCAGGAGAAUCAUUCUAACUAGAAUAAAGAUUGGUCAACAAAUUGAAAAAAAGAAUACUUCGAUGAAUAUCUUUCUAUUACUAUAAGUUGAAUGAGAAAAUAAAAUUGAAAGAGAAGAAACAAAAGGUAUACAAUGAAGAUGAUAAUCUUGCACUCAAGACUACCCCAAAGGAACAUUGCUGUUUUCACUAGAGCUAUC
rnacentral:lncRNA from 1 species